AUGAAAAAAGCAUGUCAAAAUAGCCAAGGAGACUGCCUGAAAUCUAACCCACAAAGAUUCAAUAUGAUUUUUGAAUUAUUAUACUUCAUCAAUGCAUAUUAAUCCAAAACCAUCAACUUAAAAUUGAAUCAUGGAGGUGAAAAAGAGCAGGCAAGUCAUCCUUGGCUACUAAACAUGACUCUUUUCG
rfam:Brassica napus, WGS project CCCW01000000 data, contig: 24174